AGAUCCAAGUGCUGAGGAGCAAUCAAGGUAUCUAAGGGAGGUGAGAACACUUUGCUUUUUGUUUUGUUAAGAAGCGGACAGAACUCAGGUAUCGGAGAUGGGGCUUUUCUUAAAGAAAAUUGCCAAGACAAAAAAAGGAAGGGCAACCAAAAGUGUCUGUGACUUGUGGUGCUGCAGCGCCUGUGGAAAGGUGGUAAGGGUAAGAAGAGAAGUGACCGGAAAGGGGGAGGUGGCCUGGCUACCACUCCAGGAGUCAGAGGCGGCAGCAGAUCCCUCUCUCCGAGAAGUUCCGCCCCUGAGUCACUUCCAAGGCCAAAGCACGAAGCCAGGCGUUCUGCCAGGAUAGGAACUAGUUAUCCUGCCCGAGGACGGUGGGAUGCGGAAGAAGAGAAAGAGGAUCCACCAGGCCCGCACCUGAGCGCAGGGACCGGCCGCGGGGACAGUGGGAGCUCAGUCGUGGCGAAUGCAGAUUGGUCCACUCCCACCCACUUUGUUCUACAGUACAGCCGCAGGCCCCUGGACUUGAAUUCAAGUCACCAGCAGUCCCCAUUCUAACUCGGGCAGACGCGGCCCGCGCUCCCCCGGCUGCCUUGCCGGGUGCCAGCAGCACAACACCCGCGUCAGGGGACAAGCCGGGCAGCGCCGGGUCGGUGCGGGCAGGUGCGCGCGGAAGGGCGGCUCGAAGCCCUGCCUCACCUGGCCACAGUCCCCUCCGCCCCUCCGCGCGGAACUCGGCUCCCCACCUCCCCGUCGCCUACCUUGUCCCGCCGCCGCCAGGCCUGCGCGCGUCCACGCGCCGCGCCCCGGACGCUCGGCAGGUUCCACGAGCCUCGGCGCGACGGCGUCGCCAUGGAGACGGGGCGGCGGCGGGGAAGCGGUAGCGCGCGCGAGGAGGCGACGGUCACCUGCGCCGGAAGUCCCGCCAGGCGCCGGCACUCGGUAGGGCACCUCGGCUACACCGACCCGCACUCAGGACCCGAACUCCAGCAGCUUCGGGACUGGCUCCGGACUGGCUCGGGACCGGCGUGCGGGGAAGGUUAGCGGCGCGGGUUCGGCGCCCGGGUUCCCGGUCUCUAGCUUCUCGCUCGCUACUCUCCACGCCCAAACCCAGGAGGCCGCUAGGUGUCAGGCCUGGCCUGGGCCCAAGCUCAGCUCCGGGAACCCAGGGUCACCUCUUCCAGCCCUCGUGGGCGGAGAUGGCACUUUACACUUUACUGGAAGGCUGGGAAUAACCCUGCCCUUCCGCAUCUGCACACCAGCCACAUUGACCACAUAGACACUGUUGUUGAUACAGUUUGCCUCCCAUUUUUUCCACUCCAGGAUACACACACACACACACACACACACACACACACACACACAGAGAGAGAGAGAGAGAGAGAGACAGAGACACCAAUCUAAGGGUAAAUUGUGUCCUUCCAACUUCUCAUUUAAGUCCUAGACCUGGUGUAUGCCAAGGUCUGUACUUAAGACUGUUGCCAAGACCAAGGCUGGGAGCUUAGCAGAUCCUGGCCCGCUAUCCAGGAAAUGCUACGAAUAGAUAAGAGCCUAGCUCAGACUUCCUACAAGCUGGGAACAAAAGGUUCUUUCCUGUUGGAUGCCUGGCCAGACUCACGGAGAGGAGGAGAGAAAUGGGGUAUUUUACCUUGUGAGGCAAAGCAUGACUGUGAAGGCAGUCCCUGGAACACCUCAGCAUGCUGGGAGCUGCCCACUGGUAGAAGCCAGAAUUGGGGCGGGGGCUCCUUCUUAGAGGGUGGGUAUGCUGUCUAGUGUACGGUUGAGAGAGAACCAAAAACCGGAAUUACCUUAUGGUAACUUUUCGUCUGGCAGAAGCUAAUGGGCUUUUUAAGGUAAGCAACAGCUUCCUUGGUGGUGCAGGCAAUAAAUACAUGCUUAUAAACUAAA